rnacentral:rRNA from 1 species
AGAGUUUGAUUAUGGCUCAGAAUAACGCUGGCGGCGUGCCUAACACAUGCAAGUCGGACGCGAAGCUUCGGUUAGAGUGGCGCACGGGUGAGUAACGCGUAGGUAAUCUACCUCUGGAUUGGGGAUAACUCUGCGAAAGCGGAGCUAAUACCGAAUGCUGGCUUUAUUUUGAUGAAGUCGGUAAAGGAUGCUUGCAUAUGCAUCUGUCCGGAGAUGAGCCUGCGUCCCAUUAGCUAGUUGGUAGGGUAAAGGCCUACCAAGGCGACGAUGGGUAGCUGGUCUGAGAGGAUGAUCAGCCACACUGGAACUGGAACACGGUCCAGACUCCUACGGGAGGCAGCAGUGGGGAAUAUUGGGCAAUGGGCGCAAGCCUGACCCAGCAACGCCGUGUGAGGGAGGUUCGUCGACCUCUGUCAGAAGGGCGAAUAGACCUUCAGAGGAAGCACCGGCAACUCCGUGCCAGCAGCCGCGGUAAUACGGAGGGUGCGAGCGUUAUUCGGAAUCACUGGGCGUAAAGGGCGCGUAGGCGGCCUGGUAAGUCAGGGGUGAAAUCCCACGGCUCAACCGUGGAAUUGCCUUUGAAACUGCUGGGCUUGGAUCCUGGAGAGGGUGGCGGAAUUCCUGGUGUAGGAGUGAAAUCCGUAGAUAUCAGGAGGAACACCGGUGGCGAAGGCGGCCGCCUGGACAGUAUCGACGCUGAGGCGCGAAAGUGUGGGGAGCAAACAGGAUUAGAUACCCUGGUAGUCCACACCGUAAACGAUGGAUACUAGGUGUUGGGGGCAUGACCCUCAGUGCCGCAGCUAACGCGUUAAGCAUCCCACCUGGGAAGUACGGCCGCAAGGCUAAAACUCAAAUGAAUUGGCGGGGACCCGCACAAGCGGAGGAGCGCGUGGUUUAAUUCGAUGGCAAUCGAAGAACCUUACCAGGGUACAUGUAUCUGCAUAUUCCCAGAAACGGGAUUCGUGAUCAAGGUGCUGCAUGGCCGUCGUCAGCUCGUGUCGUGAGAUGUAGGGUUAAGUCCCGAAACGAGCGCAACCCCUAUCUCAUGUUAUAUGUGUCUUGAGAAACUGCCUCGGUAAAACGGGGAGGAAGGUGGGGAUGACGUCUGGUCCGCAUAGCCCUUAUGUCCUGGGCUACACACGCGCUACAAUGGUAGGUACAAUGGGCAGCCAAACCGCAAGGUGGAGCUAUCCUAAAAAACCUAUCUCAGUUCGGAUUGUGGGCUGAAACUCGCCCACAUGAAGUUGGAUUCGCUAGUAAUCGUGGAUCAGCCAUGCCGCGGUGAAUACGUUCUCGGGUCUUGCACACACCCCCGUC